GGUCCUGCCUGCCCUGUGACCCUAAGUUCAACGGCCGCGGUAUUUUGACCGUGCAAAGGUAGCGUAAUCACUUGUCUCUUAAAUGAGGACCUGUAUGAAUGGCACAACGAGGGCUUAACUGUCUCCUUUCCCCGGUCAGUGAAAUUGAUCUUCCCGUGCAGAAGCGGGAAUCUUAACAUAAGACGAGAAGACCCUAUGGAGCUUUAGACUCUAGAACAGAUCAUGUAAGCUACUUCCAUGAAAUAAGUAAUAACUAUUGAAUCUCUGUUCCCCUGUCUUCGGUUGGGGCGACCACGGGGAAUAAAAAAACCCCCACGUGGACCAGGAGCACAUUACUCCUACAACCAUGAGCCACAGCUCUAAUGCACAAAACAUUUGACCAUUAGAUCCGGCAAAGCCGAUCAACGAACCAAGUUACCCUAGGGAUAACAGCGCAAUCCCCUUUAAGAGUCCAUAUCGACAAGGGGGUUUACGACCUCGAUGUUGGAUCAAGACAUCCUAAUGGUGCAGCCGCUAUUAAGGGUUCGUUUGUUCAACGAUUAAAGUCU
rnacentral:rRNA from 1 species